AGUGAACGCUGGCGGUAGGCCUAACACAUGCAAGUCGAACGGCAGCACAGUAAGAGCUUGCUCUUACGGGUGGCGAGUGGCGGAUGGGUGAGGAAUAGAUCGGAAUCUACUUUUUCGGGGGGGAUAACGUAGGGAAACUUACGCUAAUACCGCAUACGUCCUACGGGUGAAAGCAGGGGAUCUUCGGACCUUGCGCGAUUGAAUGAGCCGAUGUCGGAUUAGCUAGUUGGCGGGGUAAAGGCCCACCAAGGCGACGAUCCGUAGCUGGUCUGAGAGGAUGAUCAGCAACCCUGGAACUGGGAAACGGUCCGGACUCCUACGGGAGGAAGCAGUGGGGAAUAUUGGACAAUGGGCGCAAGCCUGAUCCAGCCAUACCGCGUGGGUGAAGAAGGCCUUCGGGUUGUAAAGCCCUUUUGUUGGGAAAGAAAAGCAGCAGGUUAAUACCCCGCUGUUCUGACGGUACCCAAAGAAUAAGCACCGGCUAACUUCGUG
rnacentral:rRNA from 1 species